CUCGUAGGUGGCCAACUAAGUCAGACGUGAAAUCCCCAGGCUUAACCUGGGAACUGCGUCUGAUACUGGAUGGCUUGAAUUCGGGAGAGGGAUGCAGAAUUCCAGGUGUAGCGGUGAAAUGCGUAGAUAUCUGGAGGAAUACCGGUGGCGAAGGCGGCAUCCUGGACCGAGAUUGACAUUGAGGAGCGAAAGCUAGGGGAGCAAACG
rnacentral:rRNA from 1 species